rnacentral:lncRNA from 1 species
AGCGCGUCCGUUCCCCUCCCCCACUCCCCUGGUCCUCUCCCCUCUGCCUUGUCCGAAGCCGAGCGUCGCCAUGACUGCAACCAGUGAAGCACGCGGCCACCGGUGUCUCCGGCGUGCGGGAGCACGUCCAGGAGGUCCGCCGUGGCCGGAUCCGUCUGUUUCGGGGACCAGCUCAAGCCGGACCGCCUCGUACGCUCACCAUCGUCGUCUUCUUCGUCCCGUACAUCGUCGUCCGUCGUCGAUUACCGCCGUUCCGGUCAACCCCGACUCUCCCCAACCUCGCCACCGAGCUAGCUGUGAGCUCCUCCCCCAAAUCCCCCUUCUUCCCGCCUCGAUUCAUUGCCGUAGCCACCAUCCCCGAACUCCUUUGAGCUUCCGCGUACACGUACGCGUACGUGCGUGCUGGAGCCGCACACUGCUACGGUCUGCUCAUUGCUGCUCCCUGGCCGCGCCCUGGGCCUUUCCCUGCGCCCGUCUGCGCGUGCGGCCGCCGCGCCCCGGCCGCGUGCGCACGCCGCCCGCGGUCCUGUCGCUGCUGCUGCUCACUACUCCUGCUGCUCUCUGUCUGCUAAUCGCUGCUGUUGCUCAUGCUAUUGCCGCUGAUUCUAGCUGUUGCUUUCUGCUGCCGCUGUUGUGGCCACCCGUGCUCUAGUUAGUAGCUAGUUUAGGAAUAGUUAGUGCUUAGGUUAUUAGAUUGUCUAAUUAGGUGUAGUCUAUGACGUGCGGUCUACCUGAAUUAGAUUAAAGAAAUAUCAUGUAGGAAAUUAUUAAAACACAAACAUGUGGACCCUACAUACACUGUUCAUCUGUUGACUAGUCAAUCUUGACUGGGUCAACUGGACCACUAGGACCCAUCUAUCAUACACUCUGUCUAGACUUGAGCUAGGUGACAAAAUUAUUCUGUUUUUUUUUAUUUAUUUUUUAUUUUCGAAUUAAAUAAAUACAUCAAUUCUAGAAAUUCUUUUAAACGUUAGAAAAUCAUAUAAAAUAAACCGUAACUCGGAUGGAAAAACUUUGUACAUGAAAGUUGCUCAGAACAACAAGACGAAUCCGAAUACGCAGCCCGUUCGUCUGCCACGCAUCCCUAACAUAGCAAACCUGCAACAUUUCACCUCCGGUUCAUCUGUCCGAAAUCGCGAAACACCGGGGAUACAUUCCCGGAUGUUUUCCCCCUUCGCCGGUAACACCUCCUACUGCGUUAGGUCACCUCUACCACCGCAUAUUGCCAUGUUAACACCGCGUAUUGCCAUGUUACGCUUUGUGAUGCUUUGAUUGCUCUGUUGUUUAUUGUGUUCCCCCUCCGUUACUUCUUUCCGGUAGACCCCGAUGGCUGCCGGUGACCCCCAGUUCGACUACGGAGUUGACGACCCCUCUCUCUUGCCAGAGCAACCAGGCAAGCCCCCCCUUGAUCACCAGAUAUCGCCUAUUCUACUCUAUACUGCUUGCAUUAGAGUAGUGUAGCAUGUUACUGCUUUCCGUUAUUCCUAUCUUGAUGCAUAGCCUGUCCUUGCUACUACUGUUGUUACAUUUACCUGCUAUCCUACUGCUUAGUAUAGGAUGCUAGUGUUCCAUCAGUGGUCCUACACUCUUGUCCGUCUGCCAUGCUAUCUACUGGGUCGUGAUCACUUCGGGAGGUGAUCACGGGCAUAUAUUAUAUACUUUACACUGUUACAUUACCUGUGAUACUGUUCGGAGAUGGGGGCAGAAGGGGCAGGUGGUUCUACCCAGGUAGUGGUGGGCCUGGGUUCCCGACGGCCCCCGACUGUUACUUUGUGGCGGAGCGACAGGGCAGGUUGGGGCCACCUAGGAGAGAGGUGGCCUGGCCCUGUUCGGCGUUCGCGGAUACUUAACACGCUUAACGAGAUCUGGGUAUUUGAUCUGAGUCUGGCCAUUUGGUCUAUACGCACUAACCAUCUACGCGGGAGUAGUUAUGGGUAUCCCGGCGUCGUGGUAUCAGCCGAAGCCUUCGUGACGUCAGCGACUGAGUGGCGCGCGCCGCAUUGGAUCGUAAGCUCGCGCUUGUAUUAAGGGGGCUAGAUCUGCUUCCGGCCGCGUACGCAACGUGCAGGUGUGCUAAGCGCGAUGGGCCCAGACCCCUGUGCGCAUGGUUUAGACCGGCGUGCUGACCUCUCUGUUGUGCCUAGGUGGGGCUGCGACGUGUUGAUCUUCCGCGGCCGGGCAUGACCCAGAAAAGUGUGUCCGGCCAAAUGGGAUCAAGCGUGUUGGGUUAUGUGGUGCACCCCUGCAGGGAAGUUAAUCUAUUCGAAUAGCCGUGUCCCUCGGUAAAAGGAUGACCCGGAGUUGUACCUUGACCUUAUGAUAACUUGAACCGGAUACUUAAUAAAACACACCCUUCCAAGUGCCAGAUAUAACCCGGUGAUCGCUCUCUAAUAGGGCAACGAGGAGGGAAUUACCGGGUAGGAUUAUGCUAUACGAUGUUACUUGGAGGACUUCAGUCUACUCUCUUCUACCUGCUGCAAGACGGAGGCGACCAGAAGUGUAGUCUUUGAUAAGACUAGCUAUCCCCCUCUUAUUCUGGCAUUCUGCAGUUCAGUCCACUGAUAUGGCCCUUUACACAUAUAUCCAUGCAUAUGUAGUGUAGCUCCUUGCUUGCGAGUACUUUGGAUGAGUACUCACGGUUGCCUUGUUCCCCCUUUUCCCCCUUUCUUUACCCGGUUGCUGCGACUAGACGAUAGAGCCCAGGAGCCAGACGCCACCGUCGAUGACGACUACUACACUGGAGGCGCCUACUACUACGUGCAGCCCGCGGACGACGACCAGGAGUAGUUAGGAGGAUCCCAGGCAGGAGGCUUGCGCCUCUUUCGUUAUGUAUCCCAGUUUGUGCUAGCCUUCUUAAGGCAAACUUGUUUAACUUAUGUCUGUACUCAGAUAUUGUUGCUUCCGCUGACUCGUCUACGAUUGAGCACUUGUAUUCGAGUCCUCGAGGCCCCUGGCUUGUAUUAUGAUGCUUGUAUGACUUAUUUAUGUUUUAGAGUUGUGUUGUGAUAUCUUCCCG